UAUUGCACAAUGGACGCAAGUCUGAUGCAGCAACGCCGCGUGAGGGAUGACGGCCUUCGGGUUGUAAACCUCUUUUAGUAAGGAAGAAGCCUUCGGGUGACGGUACUUGCAGAAAAAGCACCGGCUAACUACGUGCCAGCAGCCGCGGUAAUACGUAGGGUGCAAGCGUUGUCCGGAAUUAUUGGGCGUAAAGAGCUCGUAGGCGGUUUGUCGCGUCUGCUGUGAAAUCUGGUGGCUCAACCAUCAGCGUGCAGUGGGUACGGGCAGGCUAGAGUGCGGUAGGGGAGAUUGGAAUUCCUGGUGUAGCGGUGGAAUGCGCAGAUAUCAGGAGGAACACCGAUGGCGAAGGCAGAUCUCUGGGCCGCUACUGACGCUGAGGAGCGAAAGCAUGGGGAGCGAACA
rnacentral:rRNA from 1 species